rnacentral:lncRNA from 1 species
UGUAGAGCCCUGUGGGCAAGGAGCUGGCAGAGCACCACUGUUUUCUUUUCUUCUUUCUUUCCUUUCCUUGCAGGAAAAAUGACCAUUGGAUUCCAUGCCUGGCAGAGAGUUGGUCUUAUCUCUGGACUCUAAAGACACAGGGCAAGAGAGAUGAAUUGCUAAAACACCACCUGAAGCUUCUGUGAAAAGAAAGCUAAGUAUGCAAGAGUCAGCCAGAGAUCUACUGACUUCAGCUCAAACAAGGUACCGCUUUUUAACUUCUCUAAGUUAAAGCCAUAGGAGAAGUCUGCUUUCAAAAUCAAGUUUUUUUAGUUUUUGACACGCUGCUGGAUUUUGUGUGCUUGAAAAAGUUUACAUUUUUGUUUUCUUUUGCUGUACUAAGUUAAGUCAUUGAUGCUUCUAUUUACUUAUAAAUGUUUAUACUACAAAGAUUUCUGACUUAAAGGUAAGCAUCCUACUAAUGAACACAAAAGUACAGUUGCCAAAUAUUUCCA